CACGCAGGCGGUCUGCUAGGUUCGGAGUGACAGUCACCAGCUUAACUGGUGAAGGACUUUGAAAACUGGCGGACUUGAGAGCGAGAGAGGGACAUGGAAUUUCGGGUGGAGCAGUGAAAUGCGUAGAUAUCCGGAGGAACACCAAAGGCGAAGGCAGUGUCCUGGCUCGUAUCUGACGCUGAGGUGCGAAAGCUAGGGGAGCGAACGGGAUUAGAUACCCCGGUAGUCCUAGCCGUAAACGAUGACCACUAGGUGUGGGAGGUAUCGACCCCUUCCGUGCCGCAGUUAACACAGUAAGUGGUCCGCCUGGGGAGUACGGUCGCAAGACUAAA
rnacentral:rRNA from 1 species